AUAACAUUUGGAAACAGAUGCUAAUACCGCAUAACCAUUCAGACCACAUGGUCUGAAUGUAAAAGACCGCCUUUGGCUGUCACUUUUGGAUGGACCCGCGGCGUAUUAGUUAGUUGGUAAGGUAACGGCUUACCAAGACAAUGAUACGUAGCCGACCUGAGAGGGUAAUCGGCCACAUUGGGACUGAGACACGGCCCAAACUCCUACGGGAGGCAGCAGUAGGGAAUCUUCCACAAUGGACGAAGGUCUGAUGGAGCAACGCCGCGUGAGUGAAGAAGGUUUUAGGAUCGUAAAACUCUGUUGUUGGAGAAGAACAGGGACUAGAGUAACUGUUAGUCCUUUGACGGUAUCCAACCAGAAAGCCACGGCUAACUACGUGCCAGCAGCCGCGGUAAUACGUAGGUGGCAAGCGUUGUCCGGAUUUAUUGGGCGUAAAGCGAGCGCAGGCGGUUUUUUAAGUCUGAUGUGAAAGCCUUCGGCUUAACCGAAGAAGUGCAUUAGAAACUGGGAAACUUGAGUGCAGAAGAGGACAGUGGAACUCCAUGUGUAGCGGUGAAAUGCGUAGAUAUAUGGAAGAACACCAGUGGCGAAGGCGGCUGUCUGGUCUGUAACUGACGCUGAGGCUCGAAAGUAUGGGGAGCGAACAGGAUUAGAUACCCUGGUAGUCCAUACCGUAAAC
rnacentral:rRNA from 1 species